rnacentral:lncRNA from 1 species
UGUUAGUAACACUUAACUAGCCUCUUUUUAGUUACUCUAAACAGAAAUUAGGUGCAGGGAUUUUUUUUUUCUGAGUGCUGCCUUGCACUGAAGUCCAUAUUGAGCCAUGUCUUGUGAAUAUCGACAAUGACAGCAUGUUGCAAUCUUGACCAAAGGGACAGGAGGACAGCAGAUUAUGAGCUGUGGCCCAAGCAUAUGUUCAAAUUAAUCUGACUCUUGCUCGUCACUCAGAAGUCACAGCAGCUCAAAUUAUUCCCUAGAAAACUGUUCUUCUUUAAUUAAUAUUCUUGCCUAAAUCUAGGGCUCUUGUUCAUGUUGACCGACAAUUCAAACUGUCAUGUUAGUUGUCUCUUGCCACUGGUCAUUUUUGUCAUGUUUGGAGCCUUUCUUUCGGUGUAUUCUUUAUUUUACAGAGAGGCACUGCUGAUAGUUAAUUUAAGUAGAGGUAGGUAUCUGCCAUGGAUUUAGUCUAGCUUAACUCACACAUACUGUUCUCUGGGUCAUGUUCUUCAGGUUUUUUGCCUGAUCUCUGUAAUGUUGAACACCACUUUCCCCCCUUCGUAAUAUAUUUCGGCCAACAGGCCCUUCCAACUCACACAUACUGAUUUUUGUUCUGUCUUUUUUUUUACUGAAUUCAUUUUUGACAAGAUUGGAACUAUUGAAUCAUUUCCUUUCUUUUUUUGAUCUCUUAUAAUUUAAACAUUUGAUUGUUUAAACUCUGGAAUCACGAAAAUAUGAGGUGAUUUGAGAGUAGCCGAAGUUCUUGAUAAGAUUGAUUGUUUGCAGGGUAAGGUUUGGAACUGAUGGGUGAAAGGUGAGUUCAGGAAAUGAUGGUUCAGAAGGAUGGUGCAGUGCCUUG